rnacentral:sRNA from 1 species
AAUUAAACGGGAUUGCAGCGAUACACUUUUGUUUUUCUAUAACAAAAGGUUUAGCGGAAAGCCCGACUAUCA